rnacentral:rRNA from 1 species
UACGUAGGGUGCGAGCGUUGUCCGGAAUUAUUGGGCGUAAAGAGCUUGUAGGCGGCUUGUCGCGUCUGCUGUGAAAAUCCGAGGCUCAACCUCGGACUUGCAGUGGGUACGGGCAGGCUAGAGUGUGGUAGGGGGAGACUGGAAUUCCUGGUGUAGCGGUGAAAUGCGCAGAUAUCAGGAGGAACACCGAUGGCGAAGGCAGGUCUCUGGGCCACUACUGACGCUGAGAAGCGAAAGCAUGGGGAGCGAACAGG